rnacentral:rRNA from 1 species
GACGAACGCUGGCGGCGUGCUUAACACAUGCAAGUCGAACGGAAAGGCCCUGCUUUUGUGGGGUGCUCGAGUGGCGAACGGGUGAGUAACACGUGAGUAACCUGCCCUUGACUUUGGGAUAACUUCAGGAAACUGGGGCUAAUACCGGAUAGGAGCUCCUGCUGCAUGGUGGGGGUUGGAAAGUUUCGGCGGUUGGGGAUGGACUCGCGGCUUAUCAGCUUGUUGGUGGGGUAGUGGCUUACCAAGGCUUUGACGGGUAGCCGGCCUGAGAGGGUGACCGGCCACAGUGGGACUGAGAUACGGCCCAGACUCCUACGGGAGGCAGCAGGGGGGAAUAUUGCACAAUGGGCGGAAGCCUGAUGCAGCAACGCCGCGUGCGGGAUGACGGCCUUCGGGUUGUAAACCGCUUUCGCCUGUGACGAAGCGUGAGUGACGGUAAUGGGUAAAGAAGCACCGGCUAACUACGU